CCUACGGGUGGCAGCAGUGGGGAAUAUUGGACAAUGGGCGAAAGCCUGAUCCAGCCAUGCCGCGUGUGUGAAGAAGGCCUUCGGGUUGUAAAGCACUUUCAGUGGGGAAGAAAGCCUUGGGGCUAAUACCCUCGAGGAAGGACAUCACCCACAGAAGAAGCACCGGCUAACUCCGUGCCAGCAGCCGCGGUAAUACGGAGGGUGCGAGCGUUAAUCGGAAUUACUGGGCGUAAAGCGCGCGUAGGCGGUCUGAUAAGCCGGUUGUGAAAGCCCCGGGCUCAACCUGGGAACGGCAUCCGGAACUGACAGGCUAGAGUGCAGGAGAGGAAGGUAGAAUUCCCGGUGUAGCGGUGAAAUGCGUAGAGAUCGGGAGGAAUACCAGUGGCGAAGGCGGCCUUCUGGACUGACACUGACGCUGAGGUGCGAAAGCGUGGGUAGCAAACAGGAUUAGAUACCCCAGUAGUC
rnacentral:rRNA from 1 species